UGAACGCUGGCGGCGUGCCUAAUACAUGCAAGUCGCGCGAACGGACGAGAAGCUUGCUUCUCUGAUGUUAGCGGCGGACGGGUGAGUAACACGUGGAUAACCUACCUAUAAGACUGGGAUAACUUCGGGAAACCGGAGCUAAUACCGGAUGAUAUUUUGAACCGCAUGGUUCAAAAGUGAAAGACGGUCUUGCUGUCACUUAUAGAUGGAUCCGCGCUGCAUUAGCUAGUUGGUAAGGUAACGGCUUACCAAGGCAACGAUGCAUAGCCGACCUGAGAGGGUGAUCGGCCACACUGGAACUGAGACACGGUCCAGACUCCGACGGGAGGCAGCAGUAGGGAAUCUUCCGCAAUGGGCGAAAGCCUGACGGAGCAACGCCGCGUGAGUGAUGAAGGUCUUCGGAUCGUAAAACUCUGUUAUUAGGGAAGAACAUAUGUGUAAGUAACUGUGCACAUCUUGACGGUACCUAAUCAGAAAGCCACGGCUAACUACGUG
rnacentral:rRNA from 1 species